AUUGAACGCUGGCGGCAUGCCUUACACAUGCAAGUCGAACGGCAGCGCGGACUUCGGUCUGGCGGCGAGUGGCGAACGGGUGAGUAAUGCAUCGGAACGUACCUUUCAGUGGGGGAUAACGUAGCGAAAGUUACGCUAAUACCGCAUAUUCUGUGAGCAGGAAAGCAGGGGAUCGCAAGACCUCGCGCUGAUUGAGCGGCCGAUGUCAGAUUAGCUAGUUGGUGAGGUAAAGGCUCACCAAGGCGACGAUCUGUAGCGGGUCUGAGAGGAUGAUCCGCCACACUGGGACUGAGACACGGCCCAGACUCCUACGGGAGGCAGCAGUGGGGAAUUUUGGACAAUGGGGGCAACCCUGAUCCAGCCAUGCCGCGUGAGUGAAGAAGGCCUUCGGGUUGUAAAGCUCUUUCGGCCGGGAAGAAAUCGCAUGGGUUAAUACCCUGUGUGGAUGACGGUACCGGAAUAAGAAGCACCGGCUAACUACGUGCCAGCAGCCGCGGUAACAC
rnacentral:rRNA from 1 species